rnacentral:rRNA from 1 species
UACGUAGGGGGCUAGCGUUGUCCGGAAUCAUUGGGCGUAAAGAGCUCGUAGGCGGUUUGUCGCGUCUGCUGUGAAAAUCCAGGGCUUAACCCUGGACCUGCAGUGGGUACGGGCAGACUAGAGUGCGGUAGGGGAGAUCGGAAUUCCUGGUGUAGCGGUGAAAUGCGCAGAUAUCAGGAGGAACACCGGUGGCGAAGGCGGAUCUCUGGGCCGUAACUGACGCUGAGGAGCGAAAGCAUGGGGAGCGAACAGG